rnacentral:snRNA from 1 species
AUCUCUUGUCAUUGCAUAUAUC